rnacentral:rRNA from 1 species
UGAGUAACACAUAUCCAACCUGCCGUCUACUCUUGGACAGCCUUCUGAAAGGAAGAUUAAUACAAGAUGGCAUUAUGAGUUCACAUGUUCACAUGAUUAAAGGUAUUCCGGUAGACGAUGGGGAUGCGUUCCAUUAGAUAGUAGGCGGGGUAACGGCCCACCUAGUCUUCGAUGGAUAGGGGUUCUGAGAGGAAGGUCCCCCACAUUGGAACUGAGACACGGUCCAA